GAUGAACGCUGGCGGCGUGCCUAAUACAUGCAAGUCGAGCGAACAGACGAGGAGCUUGCUCCUCUGACGUUAUCGGCGGUCGGGAGAGUAACACGUGGAUAACCUACCUAUAAGACUGGGAUAACUUCGGGAAACCGGGGCGAAUACCGGAGAAUAUAUUGAAUCGUAUCGUUCAAUAGUUAACGACGCUUUUUGUGUCGCUUAUAGAUGGAUCCGGGGUGCAUUAGCUAGUUGGUAAGGUAACGGCUUACCAAGGCAAGGAUGCGUAGCCGACCUGAGAGGGUAAUCGGCCACACUGGAACUGAGACACGGCCCAGACUCCUACGGGAGGCAGCAGUAGGGAAUCUUCCGCAAUGGACGAAAGCCUGAUGGAGCAACGCCGCGUGAGUGAUGAAGGUGUUCGGAUCGUAAAACUCUGUUGUUAGGGAAGAACAAAUGUGAUAGUAACUGUGCAGGUAGUGACGGUACCUAAUCAGAAAGCCACGGCUAACUACGUG
rnacentral:rRNA from 1 species